AGUGAACGCUGGCGGUAGGCCUAACACAUGCAAGUCGAACGGCAGCACAGUAAGAGCUUGCUCUUACGGGUGGCGAGUGGCGGACGGGUGCGGUGUACAUCGGAUUCCAGUUUGUAGCGGGGGCUAACGUAGGGAAAUUUACGAUAAUAAAGGAUACGACCUACGGGUGUAAGCAGGGGUACUUUGGACUUUGUGCGAAUGUAUGAGCUGAUGUCGGAUUAGCUAGUUGGCGGGGUAGAGGCGCACCAAGGCGACGAUCCGUAGCUGGUCUGAGCGGGAGUUCAGCCACACUGGAACUGAGACACAGCCCAGACUCCUACGGGAGGCAGCGGUGGGGAAUAUUAGGCGAGGGACGCAAGCCUAAUCCAGCCAUACCGCGUAAGUGAAGAAGGACUUCGGCUGGGAAAGCCCUGAAGUUGGGAGAGAAGAACAGCACUUUAAUACCCCACUAUACUGACGGUACCCGGAGAAUAAGCACCGGCUAACUUCGUG
rnacentral:rRNA from 1 species